rnacentral:rRNA from 1 species
UACAGAGGGUGCGAGCGUUAAUCGGAAUUACUGGGCCUAAAGCAUCCGUAGCCGGUUCUACAAGUCUUCCGUUAAAUCCACCUGCUUAACAGAUGGGCUGCGGAAGAUACUAUAGAGCUAGGAGGCGGGAGAGGCAAGCGGUACUCGAUGGGUAGGGGUAAAAUCCGUUGAUCCAUUGAAGACCACCAGUGGCGAAGGCGGCUUGCCAGAACGCGCUCGACGGUGAGGGAUGAAAGCUGGGGGAGCAAACCGG